rnacentral:rRNA from 1 species
GGCCAGCAUCAGUUUGGACGGUGGGAUAAUAGCGGAGGAAUGUGGCUCGGCUUCGGUNGAGUGUUAUAGCCUNGGUUGAUACCGCCUGUCUAGAGCUGAGGCUGCGUCUUUGAGUAGGAUGCUGGCAUAAU